GGCUCUGUGGCUUAGCCGACUAAAGCACCUAUCUUGUAAACAGGAGAUCCUGAGUUUGAAUCCCAGUGGGGCCU
rnacentral:tRNA from 1 species